rnacentral:rRNA from 1 species
CGAGUGUAGGGUUCCUAGCGAGCCCAACCUCCCACCCGUGUUUACUGUACCUUAGUUGCUUCGGCGGGCCCGCCAUUCAUGGCCGCCGGGGGCUCUCAGCCCCGGGCCCGCGCCCGCCGGAGACACCACGAACUCUGUCUGAUCUAGUGAAGUCUGAGUUGAUUGUAUCGCAAUCAGUUAAAACUUUCAACAAUGGAUCUCUUGGUUCCGGCAUCGAUGAAGAACGCAGCGAAAUGCGAUAACUAGUGUGAAUUGCAGAAUUCCGUGAAUCAUCGAGUCUUUGAACGCACAUUGCGCCCCCUGGUAUUCCGGGGGGCAUGCCUGUCCGAGCGUCAUUGCUGCCCAUCAAGCACGGCUUGUGUGUUGGGUCGUCGUCCCCUCUCCGGGGGGGACGGGCCCCAAAGGCAGCGGCGGCACCGCGUCCGAUCCUCGAGCGUAUGGGGCUUUGUCACCCGCUCUGUAGGCCCGGCCGGCGCUUGCCGAACGCAAAUCAAUCUUUUUCCAGGUUGACCUCGGAUCAGGUAGGGAUACCCGCUGAACUUAAGCAUAUCAAUAAGCGGAGGAAGA